GACGAACGCUGGCGGCGUGCUUAACACAUGCAAGUCGAACGGAAAGGCCCUGCUUUUGUGGGGUGCUCGAGUGGCGAACGGGUGAGUAACACGUGAGUAACCUGCCCUUGACUUUGGGAUAACUUCAGGAAACUGGGCCUAAUACCGGAUAGGAGCUCCUGCUGCAUGGUGGGGGUUGGAAAGUUUCGGCGGUUGGGGAUGGACUCGCGGCUUAUCAGCUUGUUGGUGGGGUAGUGGCUUACCAAGGCUUUGACGGGUAGCCGGCCUGGGAGGGUGACCGGCCACAUUGGGACUGAGAUACGGCCCAGACUCCUACGGGAGGCAGCAGUGGGGAAUAUUGCACAAUGGGCGGAAGCCUGAUGCGGCAACGCCGCGUGCGGGAUGACGGCCUUCGGGUUGUAAACCGCUUUCGCCUGUGACGAAGCGUGAGUGACGGUAAUGGGUAAAGAAGCACCGGCUAACUACGUG
rnacentral:rRNA from 1 species